rnacentral:rRNA from 1 species
UACGUAGGGUGCAAGCGUUGUCCGGAAUUAUUGGGCGUAAAGAGCUCGUAGGCGGUUCGUCACGUCGGCUGUGAAACCUGAGGCUCAACCUCAGGCCUGCAGUCGAUACGGGCGGACUUGAGUACUGCAGGGGAGACUGGAAUUCCUGGUGUAGCGGUGAAAUGCGUAGAUAUCGGAAGGAACACCAGUGGCGAAAGCGGCUCCCUGGUCCAGCACCGGACGUUCAGGCACGAAAGCGUGGGGAGCAAACGGG